rnacentral:lncRNA from 1 species
CGGGGCGGAGCGGAGCGCUGAGGCCGCGGCGCCGCCCUGUUGCUUCCGCCUGCCGGGCGCGGGCGGCCUGCCCCUCCGGCUCCGGCAGGAAAACUUUUAUUCUGCCGCGAAGGCCCGACGGCCGGCGAGGUCCGCCUGCGGGGACAGAAGGGGGACGCCGCUUCCUCGGUGCUGCGCAGGGGCCGCGCGAGCCCGGGCAGGUCGCCCCCCUGGGGACCGCGCCCCGGAACCGCAGCGGAUCCCUAGGCCCGCCCCGGCGGAUCGGGUGGGAGGGUCAGGACCGGCCUCCACCUUCCCGGGCAGGGCCGUCCCUGAGGGCCAGGAGCUGGCCAGUGGAGUGUACUAGAAGAGCGAUUCCUGGGAAUGCGGCUCGCACCCUCCUGGCCCACUGGGCCCUUCGCUAGCAGACGGCCUGACUUAACUCGGGGACUCCGUUUCCAGGCCCCCUGCUCCCGCACAGUGGGUGGUGGAACCCGAGGCUGACAGCACCCUUCAGCAGCCUCGGAAGAGCUGGCAAGAGCCGCGUGUGGGGCUUACGGCUCAGAGUGAGCGUGUCUCACUGACCCAACAGAGUGGUACUGGCCUCCUUUCUGGUUAGACCUCGUGGCUGGGAGCGAGGGCUGGUGCACAAUAAUAGUGACUGCACUGUAAAACGCUCCUUUGGGGGCCAACUGCUGAUUUUCCGUCUUCCAUCCAGCUCUCGUCUCUGCCCCCCUCUGCCAGGCUCUGUGUCCAGGAGGCAGAUGGCCCCCACGAGUGGCUCCACCUGCAGAGGCAACAGCAGUAGACUGAGGACAGAAGGCAAGGCCGGGGCCCUUCUCCCCAGUCCCUGCUGGCCUUGCCCUGGCCUGGCAGUGUGAGUGUUGAGGCCACCUGGUCUGGGGGGCCUCAACUCAUGCCUGGCUCUGGGGAAGACAGGUGUCCAUGUCUCUAAGGCUUGCAGGUCCCUAGAUAUGGCACUCUGGUGUUCCUCAGCCCAUGCCCGCACUCCCGCUCAUGGUCCCUCCUGCCUUGCACACUGUGAGGUUUGUGGGCAGCAGGCGUUAUACAAGGCCACCGAGAAGGGCUCCAUGUCUCUCGGCGGCGCCUGUCUUGUUCAGAGUUGGUUAUGUUCCAUGGUGCCAGGAAUGCCUUCCUUCCUUCCUGUCUAACCUGUCUCCACCCUGUGUGGUGGGUGAACUCUGGCUCAGCUGGUCUUGGUAACUGCAUUCUUUUCUCAGUGAUUGGCUUAAAACAGCCUCGCUGAGGAAUUCUGAGAGGAAGCCUGCUGUGGGUCAUCUGGAAAUGACUUCCUCCUCAAACAGGAGUAGAGGGGACGUUCCACUCUCCCUGCUGGCUGGUGGUAUUUGGAGGUGAUAUCUGGUGCCUUGCAGCCUUCUUGCAGACAUGAGAGGGGUAGCUGAGGAGCAUCUCUGCUCUAGGGAUAGCAGCAUGGAAAAAGCAUGGGUGCUGAUGUCACCACCAGGCCAUGAGCCACCCUGCUGCUGCCCUAACCUGGAAUUUCCUGUUAUGACAGUAGUGCCUGUCUUAAUUUGAACCAGUUGAGUUGCAGCAAGUCAGCAUCUUAACUUGAAACCUAUGCGAACAAAUCUGUUAGGAUUCUCUCUAUUAAAACAGCAGGAAGUCCAGCUCAGCUGUGAACCGGUUCACCCUUGCUGGGCCACAGACCUCCACAACAUAGCCACUGAGACCACAGUUGUCCUCUCUGCAGAUCUGGAUGGGCGUCCUGGUCUUCUGCUCCCUGAGGUUGGGGCAUUGAGAGUGCUGCUGCAUCCAGAGGACUUUCUCAGCAGGUGGGUGGAUGGUGGGAGCAGGCCUGCCUCCCUCUUUUCACACGGUUGCUCAUAAGUCAGUGGUCUAUCGGAGCUGCUUUCCAGGACAGCUGGACCCCAGAGGGUUGAAGUGGACAUAGGAGGUCUGGCUCAGAGGCCCCAGGGCGUUACUUUUGCCACAGUCUGCUGGUGAAUGGGAGUCCACAGCCCGGCCAGACUCCUGGGCAGGGGAAGUAGAUGUCUCUUCUCAGUGGAAAGAGGCCUUGUGUAGACAGGAGUGGGAGGACUUGGACAGUGGUCUCUGGAAAUGAUGCCGUGGCCUGGCUUCAACAAUAGGGCACAUGCUGGCACUCGCCACAGUAAAGGACCCCUGGGGACUCCAGGUCCUGGGUGUUGCUUCACUCAUACCUUUGCAGAAAGAAAAGCUCCAUCGUGAUGAACCAGGAAAAGCCUGAUGGGCUCCUAGCCAGGGGUCCCCAGGUGGCAGGGUCCAGGAGGUGGCUGACCCAUGCCUGAGUCCAGCACCACACUGAGCUAGUGAGUGUCAGAGGGGGCGAGGUUGUCUUACAAUUUGCCUUAGGUAGUUAGGACCCACCCUGCCUCCAACCAUGUGCCUGCCUCCCGGGCCCAUGUGCUGGCUGAGGAGGAGGUGUUGAUGGGUAGGACACAGACCCCAAGCCCUAUGAAGGACGGGGUGGGUGGGUGGGUGUUUGCAGCUGGUGCUUGGGCUGCACCUUUCCCACACCCACACCUGUGCACGUAAGCCCUCGCCCCACCCCUCCCCUCUGCCUCGGGCAACUUAGAUAAAAACAAAGGCUUUGGGGAAAUAAGGGUUAAGGGGGUAUAGAGUCUUCCCAUAAGGACAGUUCAAACAAUUGUUGCCAUUGAGACCUCAAACACAUGUGUAACUAAUUAGAACAAAUUUUAAAAAUAAAAAGCCAUAGACCUGAGGCUAGGCUGAGGACUGAAAGUAAAAAAGACAGGUGUGAAUUACUAGCUGGUAGUGGGAACAGCCAUCCCUGGCAUCAGGAGCUGGGCCGCCCCUCCUGGGGUCCUCUGUGCACGCCUGACCUGGGCCACUUCCGCAGUCCACCUGCGGGGCCUGGUCCAGGGUUCUUCGUGGGAGAAGCCAUAUUUCCUGUCCUUCCCUCUGAGCCUCCACCCGCCACCUUUUUUGCCUGGACUCUUCCCCACCCUGUUUAUUCCACGAGUCCCUCUCCACCCUUUCUGGUCACAGGUUAAUGCCCUCUCCUUCCUCUGGUUGCCAUGAGUGACCCCUCCCUGGCAGGGUUUGCAUCUCAGGUGCCCCUCACCUGCUUUCUUUGCUUGGUUUUAGUUCUUUUAACAUCACUGAUCUAAAGGUCACACGAUUGAGCAAUGUAUUUUAGUCUCCCGCUGGCCUGUCGAUGACACCUCUGGCCAAAGCCACCUAGUGGGUAAAACUCACCCUUCGCCAUCCUCCUGUUCUCCAGGGAAAGACACCUUCUUUAUCUUGAGGGGUAGCCACAGGGUGGGUCUUCCUUGGAGGGGAGCUCAGAAGACAGUCAUAAAACUUACUAACCAGUAACUUUCCCCUAGAUUUACUGGACCAAGCACCUGAUGCUCUUCAGGUGACAUCAGAGUGUGGGCCAAGGACCCAAUGGCUUGCUCUUUAAUUAAGUUAAGUAGAGGCUGGGGCUGGGGCUCAGUGGUAGAGUGCUUUCCUAGCAUGCAUGAGGCCCUGGGUUUGAUCCCAGCACCAAUAAAAAUAAACAAACAAAAUAAAGGUAUUCCGUCCACGUACAACUACAAAAAAAAAAAAUCAAAGUAAUGUUUAACUUGCAGGGAAAUGAUGUGUUUAUCUAAAGAAUUGUAGAGACGGCCUGGAGACAAAAGCCCCUUGUGAUCUUAAGAAUACUCUGGCAGAAGAGGAGAGCCAACGGCCCUGGAUGACAAAGGCCGCACUCAGCCCACGCUUCCCGCCCAUUGCCCGCCUCCCCCUCCCUAUAAAGGCCCUUUGUGCCCUGAGUUCCCUGGGAGGAUCUUUGUUGGUGAUGGCCUCUGACAUUCUUUAGGGGCUGGCUUUCCAACUAGACCUUUUUUCCUUGCAAGUUGUCCUUGAGUAGCUGACCUUUUUAAGUGGUGACUAAGUGAACCUGGUUUCAGGAACACAGCCAUGAUGCUCCGCCUCACCACAGGGCCAAGCAAGCAGGGGCCGGAACCUCUGAAACUGAGCCAAAAUAGACCUUCCUCCUUAUAAAUGGGUUUUCUUAAGUACUUUGUCACAGCAAUGGAAUUUGAGUAGCACAGAGACUUGGCACCCAGAAUAGGGUCAUUGCUUGACCAUCCCUGAAUGUGGUUCAUAAGACUUUGUAAUUGGUUUGGGGGCGAAAUUUCCAAACAUUUAGAGAUAAAGCCUAGAGAAAGCUUGGAGUGCUGUAAACAGAGCUAGUAGGCAAUUCUGACUGGAGAUUAGCAGAUAGUAAAGACUGCUCAUGAGGUGUCAGAAGGGAAGGAGGACUCCACUGGGAAUUGGAGUACAGAACAUUCAGGCCACAUUCCGGCAAAGAACUUGCCUAUAUUUUGUCCAUGCCCUGAGACUUUGUGUGAGUCUGAGUUUAAAGGUGAAGGUGAUGGACUGGUUUAUCUGGUGGAGAACAUUUCAAGGCAGCACAGUGUCCAGGCUGCAGCAUGGACAUUGAUGGACUGCUUUUAGCCAUAUUUAAAGUGAGAAUCUAGAGCAAAAAACAGUGAGAAGUUUUGAAAACCUUGAAGUUUGACUAGAAAGGGGACACAUAUAGAGUUGUGGCCAGGGAGGGUAUGGUUGUUAAAGAGAUUAGCACCAGUAAAACAAAACAAAAAAACAGACAAAACAAAACCAAGUAGUCUGCACCAAGAGAAUGGGAAAAGCUGGCUGGAGCACAUCUCAGUGACCAGUGACCACCUCACAUUGCAAGCUCAACAGUGUAAAGGCGAGAAGUUGGAAGAGAGCCCUGGGGUGCUCUACUUGCAGUGGCUGCCUGGGGAGUUGUUUUCCCAGGACUCAUGUCAUCAUGCUCAGGCACUCAGGGGCCACGGCAGCCAUGGACCAAGGGGGCCUAGCCAUUGUUUGAGCCAGUGGCAGACCUUGGACUCAUCCUGCGGUGCUAGUUCUACAGGCAUGCUAAGUGGGUCCUGGGGUUACAGGGUCCUGGAGGUUUCCACUGAUUCCAAAGGCAGGUCUGGGAGGCCAGGCAGCAGGUGGCAGGGCUGGAGUCCCUGCAGGCAGCCCUGGAGGGCCAUGUGUGGCACCACGGGAGUAAAGCUGCAGCUUCAGAUGAGACCCCAAGAAAUUGAAGAUGCGGGAACAUGGGGCAUCUGCCAAGGAAAGCCACAGACAGGGGGCAGAGCCAGGCCAGGAGUGGCCAUGUGGGCUGCCAGGGCAAGGUCACAGUGGCAGCGCUGCCCAAGCCUGUGGGGCCCACACCAUACCUCCAUGUGCAUCCCAGAUGCAGACAUGGAGCUACAGUAUUUAACGUUUUCCCUGAUUAUUUUGGUCUUGCUUUCUGAUACCCUGUUUGUCCCUUCUGGAAUGGGAAUGCUUAACCUGUACCACUGUGUGUUGGAAUUUUGUAAGUUAUUUAUUUUUUUCCAGGGGCGUACGGCUAUGAGCCAUGCUGAAACUGCUAACGUGGGCUCUCAGAGGUGGAUUGGACGCAUUUUGCACUGUGAGAUGGACUUGAGUCCUUGGGGGACAGGACAGGAUAUUUGGAUCUUAAGUGUUCGCCGAAAGUCCACAUAUGGAAGAGCUGGUCCCCAGCUGCUGGUGCUGCUAGAGCUGGUGGACCUUAGGAGGUGAGGUCAUCGGAGACGUGCCCUCAGGGGGCUCUGGGGACCCCGGCCUUCCUGCCUCUCCUUGCCUACCAGCUGUGCCGCCAGCUCCGCCCCACCACACAUUCCCCACUCUGAUGUUCUGCCUGGGGGCCAGGCCCAAAGGCACCAGGGCCAGGCCACUGUGGACGAAGCCUCUGAAACCGUGAGAGUAGACCUGUCCUCAUUCAAGUUGGUCAUCCCGGUUAUUGUGUCACAAGUUCUCACACGCCCUUUCAAUGAGCUCACUAAGUAAAGCUUAGCUAUUUGUUCAGACCAACAUUUCUAAACCCUGGCUGUAGAUUAAAGCUACUUAAGGACAGUAAGGAUGUGUGCCUCCCCAGGCGUUUGGUUCAAUUGCUGUGGAGUGGGACCCAAACACAGGACUUUUAGAAGCUCCCAGGUGCAGCAGGUUUGAGACUGUGAGUCUGGGUGUGUGUCUGCCUCCCGGUGGGAGAGAACUUGCUGAGGAUGACCACAGCUGAUCCUCACUCCUGGGGCACCGCAUGGCGCCUUGUGCACUGACGUGCCCAGCACAUGGUGAAGAGUCAGGUGGGCCAGGACCUCUCGUGGAACAGGUCAUGUCUCAUUGUGAUUCCUACUCCAAAAUACAUGGGUGUCGUGAGUGCCAGUCUCACAGAAAAAGCAGAGUUCAUCCGCACGACGCUCCAGCUUGACCAUGAACACAGCCGAGUCCCGGUUCCAGUCCCUCUCCUGUUUGGUGGCCAGGGCUCUUGUGUCCACUACUCUGACCACCCUCUCGAGAGACCACACAUUCUUUCAUUUCAUGUCUCCGCUGAAACUUACUCUCUGAACCUUUUUCUUCUUGAAGUUCUUCCUCUGGCCAUUGAGAUGUGGGUCGGGAACGAGUCUCAGGAGAAUCUGAGUCCUGUUUCCUCCUGAGGAGGCAUUCCUGGGUGAGAGGGCGCCCUGCCACGCCCUCUGGUGGGUAACCAGGAAAAGGGGGCGCCUGACCCCAGCUGAGCCCCCCAGGGUGAGCUGAAAGGACGUGGGCUAAGAAGUCUCCCUCUUUUCUUAUUUAUUGCUUACACGCCCUUCUCUCUUGUUCUGUUUCUCUAAAGAAUCGAUGAUUUUAAUUCCAGUUUUCUUUCAGAAAAAAAUAAAGCAGGUUCUCUGAUGCUUAAAAUUACCAAUAAAAUAAUGAAAGCAAUUUGUAAUAUUUAUUUGAACAGUAAUUUUAAUAUAGACCGAUGCUACUCCUCUUCAGCCAAGGAAAUGCAAUGACUGGCCCUCUGAAAGUCGACGAUAACUAGAAAUCCAACUUCGCAGCUUUCCGUGAUCAGGUCACUGGUUUUUAUAUAACCCACUUUGAAAUGUUCUGUCUAUGCCUACUUUAUAGAA